GAUGAAGAACGUAGCGAAAUGCGAUAAGUAAUGUGAAUUGCAGAAUUCAGUGAAUCAUCGAAUCUUUGAACGCACAUUGCGCCCUCUGGUAUUCCGGGGGGCAUGCCUGUUCGAGCGUCAUUAUAACCACUCAAGCUCUCGCUUGGUAUUGGGGUUCGCGGUUCCGCGGCCCCUAAAAUCAGUGGCGGUGCCUGUCGGCUCUACGCUUAGUAAUACUCCUCGCGAUUGAGUCCGGUAGGUCUACUUGCCAGCAACCCCCAAUUUUUACAGGUUGACCUCGGAUCAGGUAGGGAUACCCGCUGAACUUAAGCAUAUCAAUAAGCGGAA
rnacentral:misc_RNA from 1 species